rnacentral:tRNA from 4 species
GGAGCGGUAUCGAAGUGGUCAUAACGGGACUGACUCGAAAUCAGUUGAGCCGCAAGGCUCCGUGGGUUCGAAUCCCACCCGCUCCGCCA